rnacentral:rRNA from 1 species
GGGGGGGGGGGGGGGCGGGGGGGGGGGGGGCGGGGCGGGCGGGCAGGCGGGGGGCGUGGGGGGGUGGCGGUAGGGGCGGGCGGGGGAGGAGCGCGUGGGGACCCUACCUAGAAGACUGGGAUCACGUGGGGAAACCGGAGCUAAUCCCGGAUAAUCUAUGGAACGGCAUGUUCCAAUAGUGAAAGACGGUUUUGCUUUCACUAGUAAGUGGACCGCCGCCGCAUUCUAUAGUUGGUCAGGUUACGGAUUACCAAGGCAACGAUGCGUAGCCGACCUGAGGGGGUGAUCGGCCACACUGGGACUGAGACACGGUCCACACUCCUACGGGGCGCAGCAGUAGGGAAUCGUCCGCAAUGGGCGAAAGCCUGACGGAGCAACGUCGCGUGAAUGAUGAAGGUCUUCUGAUCGUAAAACUCUGUUAUUAGGGAAGAACAAAUGUGUAAGUAACUAUGCACGUCUUGACGGUACCUAAUCAGAAAGCCACGGCUAACUACGUG